UACACUCCUACGGGAGGCAGCAGUGGGGAAUUUUGGACAAUGGGCGAAAGCCUGAUCCAGCAAUGCCGCGUGAGUGAAGAAGGCCUUCGGGUUGUAAAGCUCUUUUGUCAGGGAAGAAACGGUGAGAGCUAAUAUCUUUUGCUAAUGACGGUACCUGAAGAAUAAGCACCGGCUAACUACGUGCCAGCAGCCGCGGUAAUACGUAGGGUGCAAGCGUUAAUCGGAAUUACUGGGCGUAAAGCGUGCGCAGGCGGUUUUGUAAGUCUGAUGUGAAAUCCCCGGGCUCAACCUGGGAAUUGCAUUGGAGACUGCAAGGCUAGAAUCUGGCAGAGGGGGGUAGAAUUCCACGUGUAGCAGUGAAAUGCGUAGAUAUGUGGAGGAACACCGAUGGCGAAGGCAGCCCCCUGGGUCAAGAUUGACGCUCAUGCACGAAAGCGUGGGGAGCAAACAGGAUUAGAUACCCGGGUAGUCCCAU
rnacentral:rRNA from 1 species